rnacentral:rRNA from 1 species
UACGUAGGGUGCGAGCGUUGUCCGGAAUUACUGGGCGUAAAGAGCUCGUAGGUGGUUUGUCGCGUUGUUCGUGAAAACCGGGGGCUUAACCCUCGGCGUGCGGGCGAUACGGGCAGACUUGAGUACUGCAGGGGAGACUGGAAUUCCUGGUGUAGCGGUGGAAUGCGCAGAUAUCAGGAGGAACACCGGUGGCGAAGGCGGGUCUCUGGGCAGUUACUGACACUCAACUACGAAAGCGUGGGGAGCAAACAGG